UACGGAGGGUCCAAGCGUUAUCCGGAAUCAUUGGGUUUAAAGGGUCCGUAGGCGGUCUUGUAAGUCAGUGGUGAAAGCCCAUCGCUCAACGGUGGAACGGCCAUUGAUACUGCAAGACUUGAAUUAUUGUGAAGUAACUAGAAUAUGUAGUGUAGCGGUGAAAUGCUUAGAGAUUACAUGGAAUACCAAUUGCGAAGGCAGGUUACUAACAAUAUAUUGACGCUGAUGGACGAAAGCGUGGGUAGCGAACAGG
rnacentral:rRNA from 1 species